UGCUGCGUCCUGCCGCCUGGCGCCUGCUGCUGUGCCAUUUGCCAUCCCAACCCCUCUGCCGCCUGCGUCCCUGCCGGCGCGCGCGUGCUCAGGCGAGCAGCGAGCUCCAACCCCUUGCUCGCCCACACCUUCCCGCGGUCCGACCCGGAGGGGGCCGGAAAGAGGGGAGGACCGGAGGAGAGGCCCCCCCGACCUCCGCAUUAGCGGCCGCCGCCGUCACGGGCGGGACCGGUAACUCCCUCACUCCCUGGUGCGUUCCGUUCCAUUCCCCUCCUGACCUCCACCUCCACGGCGCUCGCGCGGCGGUCUGGCGCGGAACGGGCUUGGCGGGUGGAGCUGGCAGCCCCCGAUGAUUGCGCGGCGCUGAUCCUAAUCCUAACCGCGUCGUGACAUUCGUAUCCGGCUGUGACUGUGAUUAUAUCGCCCAUCUCUGGCCAUCAUGCGGUUCGCCCUUUGUUGUGCCGAUCGAUGGAUGGCUUUGGCUUAGCUUCGUUGCGGAUUCGGUGGUAGCUUGGCGCGCAGCAACUGCUGCGUGUGCCCGAGCUAGUAAUUGGCCCUGCAUUUUACAACCAGAUCAGUCGCUGACCAUAUAAUUUUACAAUAACUGCAACCUGACUGUUGGUUGCCUGACCCUACAUGGGUACAAUGUCAUAGAAUGUCUUUGUAGAUUGGGCCUAGGAAAAUAGUAUCUGAGCAGUUUAUUCAAACAUAGUUGGUGCCGAAACACGCUGCGGCACACAGCACUUUUUGUUUGUUUGGCUCGAUACUUUAGUUCACCUGCUAACCAUAGAGUGGCAUGAAAACUUAUUUCAACUUCAGUCUGAGCCAUAUUUAGUGGUAAUGUUUAUUUGAAUGUCACAUGGACUGGGGGCUAAAGGCUUCACUGGUUAACAGUUUCUUGUCUGUCACUUUGGCAAUUGUGCGAGUGUGCUCAGAGAUCUGUACGGCUAUAUUCAAUAGUUUAUAUAAAUGCAUAAUAUCGAUCAACAGUAACUGGAAUUCUACUACCGUUCAUGGCUGUGAUUUUUGUAUCGCCGAUGGCAAUUUCACUGCCGUGAAAGCUUCUUCUACAUUAUUUGUUUCUUUUAUGAAUAUGACAAUUUUUUUGUUAUCGGCAUAUGCAUGAGUUCAAAACAAUAACAAAAUUUGAUAAAUAUGCAAUGGGCUUCGAGUGAGUUUUGAUACAUAUCCCGAAUGUCACAGAUUUUGAUAGACUAUCAAACUCAAGUGUAACAAAUAAGUAACAUGGUAGAACAUCAUCUGACCAAACUUCUCUAUUGGCACCAAACUUCUCCAGUAGUUAUGUAAGCUCUUUAUUUUGAGGGAACUAUGUAAGCUCUUUAUGCACUUCAUGCAUGUUUACUAUUGAAUAAAGCAUAUACCUUCCAAUAUUUGGUGGUCAACCUGGAAAGAUUCUUCAGAAAAGGUUUGUGGAAAACUAAUUAAACCAGGUAGUAUUUCACUCUAUUUUAUAGUGUGGGCCCAGUUUUAUGGAUGGUGAAUUACUCAAGUAUAUAUAGUGCUGGAAUGUUGUUCCCAUCCUCCAUAACUGAACAAGCAUUUGGUUUGAGUAAAAUGAGUUAUCCACUUUGUGGUUUUUAUUUUUCUGGCAUUUGAGUUCAUCUUUUGUUCUGGCAUUUUGCAUCCUUAGCUUAGUAUAUACCUGCCCUCAUAUCAUUUCUGCAUGACUCAAUAAAAGAUUUUCCAUAAUAAAAGAACAAGGAAAAUAUGCAUCUAACUUAUCAGAAGUAAUAAUCAUAAAGGGGUACGUGUUCUAUACAGUUAAUGUAGAGAUAUGUCAUUGUUUUCAAUGCUUUAUGGAGAUUUGCAAAUCAGGGAUAAUGCAAUUGAGAAUGGUACUUAGUACUCCCUCCUUCCUCGUUUAUAAGGCAUACACACAUAUCAAGAUUCAAACCUUUCUAUCUUUGACCAAUAAUAUGACUAUUAAUUUUUUAUUUUAUAAUGUAAAUUUUAUAUGAUUAGAUUCGUAAUCAAAUAUAGUUUACAGUGAUUAUAAAUGUAUAAUCAUAAGUGAUAGAAUAUAUAAUAAAUAAAUGGUCAAAGUAUCGUUUGGAAGACCGUGCCAUGUUCUACUAUGCCUUAUAAACGAGGAAGGAGGGAGUAGCUCUUAACAUUAAGAACUCUUUCUAGGAUGGUGAUUAAUGACAUUGAUGUGAGUGGAUUAUUAUUCUAUUCUUGAACAAUCCUGCUGCCAUCACACCCAGCUUGCCCCAUAUCACAUCCAGCAUUAUUUAGGUCGGUAGUCAAAUUGUUACAGGACAUGUAAGGUUUGUUUCCUUCUUUUGUAAAGCAGCUUGGUACAUAAUGCAAGUUAUGUCAGGUGAAGCAAUGAUAAUUUAUUUGAAGGAUAUACCCUUUUGACUAUGAUUGAAAGGGUGGGCUGUAUUGUUUGAUGUGACAUGUGUGUAACAUAGGAUAAGGAGGAUGACUUUGUGAAACUCAAGUAUAAUAGUUUCUGGACUUCGAUUCUUAUCCAGCAAUUGGAGUGACUAGAAACCCUGUGCUUAUUUGUGAUGUCUUCAAGACAUAGCCUGGAUAUCCCUACUAAUUCCAUUAGAACCGAUUGCAUAUUCAACCUAAUAUGGUGGUGCUCACCGCUUCCAAUGUUCAGCUUCUGAAUGCCAAGCAUCUGGUACAAAACUCAGGAACACCCAAUCUGUAUGGAGUCAAGGCAAAUAAAUAUUAUAUCAGGUGAAGGAAUAUUAAGACUGGCAUCUGCUGUUCGAGGAACUGUUUGGCUCAUAUCAGAACUCCGCUAUAUCAAAUCUAUUAGGUCCAACUUGCAUCAGCUCUUACUGAACUCAAGUCCUAAAUGUGGUACAGGGUGCUGAUUAAGGAUUCCCUAAUCUUGCAAUCAUUUGGCAUUUUUGGCGCGUACAAUUUGGUUUGAAACUUUUGUAUCCUGUAGCUGAGGCCCCGUACAUAACAAGGCUAAAGUGCAUGGUACAAAGGAACGGAUGAAGGAAGGUGGUGAUAAUUGUUCUGUAUGGGAAGGGGUCCCAUGGCAAUGUUAACUAUAGGGGACGGGUGGAAUCGUUGGUUACAAGGCCAUGUGCAACGGGAGGGGCACAAUUGGGGAACAGGGGUUGCACGGGAUAACAUGGGAGCCAUGUCUCUCCAUGUUGCCUAGUGUGUGUAUUUGUGUAUAGCUUUCACUAUUGGCUGGACUCCUCUGGCAAGGGAAUAACAACCAAGAACUCAACUUUAUAUCUCUUACCCUUUUCCUGCCUCUAUUAGAAACCAAAAGAAAUGGAAGCUUUACUAUUUCCUCUUCUUUCCAUCUUACUUUGGCAGAUCCUAUUCCGAUUGGAGGUCAUCCUCAUGGUGAAUGCGGAAGAGAAUUCAUUCUUGAAAAAUCUGAUCCUUUACUUUUUGACGGGAAGAUCUGAUCCUUUAUUGAGGUUUUUUUUUUUGACAAAGUGAAUCAAACUGAUUCCUCAAAAGCUACCUGAUAGUCAGCUUUCAGUUUCAGGUAUUUGGGCAACUUGUCGUUCUAUUUCUAUUCUCUACUGAACAUAGAUGGAGUUUCAGGGGAAGCCUUGCAUGCUAUGGCCUUGGAGACAGAUUGUGCAUGUUACCAGUGACUUGUACUCUUUGCAUGCUAUGGCCUUGGAGACAGAUUGUGCUUAAAGUGUCUGCACCGAUCUAAUAGAAUGGAUAUCUGGAUGGGUAGUCUCCUAAUUCCCUGGCGCUUUGGUUCACUCACUAAAUCAUUAGGUAUGCAUGACAGACAACCAGAACAGCGCACCAGAAACAUUCACCUUAUUCUGCCAGAAAACUAAGCAUGUUCAGGUAAACUGGACUUCUUCUGAUUGGCACUAUGACGUUUUGGUCACUUUGUGUUGCUCUGUAAGGACAACAUCACUCAAGUAUGUGCUUUAGGUGAUGUUACCUUUAGUGAAACCCUGGGAAUCUUUGCAGUAAAACCAUAAUAACAUUGAACGGUGGCACUUUAACCCAACCAGAAGUAAGCUCACAGCUCUGAUGGUCACAUGGGCAGGACACCCUUAUUGUUUAUGGCCAAAUUCUGUGAUUUUGAAAGUUCAGAGGUCUCAAAGCAGCAACCACUUGGAGAUCAAAGUCUAUCUGUAAGUUUGGUGAAUUGCUUUGGUCCAGCUUAGAUAUAUUUGUACAUCAGUGUCUGGUUAGCUCCCAGGCCAAUGGUCAGCUAUGCAAUUUUCUCAGCGGCACCUAGUGGCACCAGUCUGGCACCUUUCAAGUAGCGUUGGGCGAGGUACAUCAACAUUUCUAUGCAAGAUUGAUAUCGUUGUGCUGCAUCCACUGUGUCAUCCUGGUUAGUGGCGCCAGAUAUCAGAGUAUAAGCAUCUACGACACACAUAAUCUGAUGGCAUCAGAAGGCUUGUAUCAGCGCGGACGUACAACUCCACACAGGGCCAACCAAAUUGGCCGACUCUCCCUGAUGGUGGCCGUUGAAGCAUUGUUGUCAACAGUUGGUCCUAGCUUCACUUGCCGGGUAGGUGCUGCUUUGAAAGGUUAAUGGAGCGCACCAUGUAGUAUAGCUAGCUUUGUACAACCACACAAGGCCAGGGAUUAUGGAGGGCCCAACAGUUGGCAAAGGUUAACACGCCGAGCCAAUGACAGCUCCCGUCUCGGACAAGAACAAUCUUGGAGGUUUGCUGCAACAGAAAUGGUCCUCCCAGGGGCACAGCCUAAAGCCAGUGCGGUACAGAAAAUCUUUUUCUCCCAAGAAAGGAGCUUCCUUUUCCUCUAAUAACGCCAGCCUAAUCCUCUGUUAACCCCACGCAGCCCGGGUGAUGAGAGAGGACGAGGUUGGAAGGAGGACAGGGAGGGAUGAAGAGGAAUCUGGCGGGGCUCUGAUUUGCUGGGAAGAUGUUCACAGUUCCUUAGGAGUCACGUCUCGGCAUGUGAUUCGGUAUCGGGGGUACGCCGAGGCUCGUGGCUAACCCCGUGGGCUGGAGAGUGGUCCAGCGGCACACAAGCUGCAAGUGCUAGAUUUGCGAUUUCAUCUUCGCAAUCAUGGAUGGUUCUGCUUGAUUAGUUACUUGCAAGCCUGAAGAGGACAAAGACACCCAAUGUGGGGAGGGGCAAAAGAAAAGAAAAAAAAGAAAGAAAGAUGCUUAGAUGGUCUCCGGCAACACGGGACCGUGCGUGUUUGGCUGGACCAUCUUGGCCGUGGAUCGCCGCGGCUCGCCGGCACGGACUAGGUGCCGAGCCGGUGGUGGACCAUUGGUCUAGUCUCCAACUCUACAUCCUCUCCGGCCGGCUCGGCGUGUGCGGAUAAAAGAAAAUGUGCCGUUUUAUGACGUGGCCUGGUCUGUGAAGAGGCGAAGUUGCUACUGAAUUGCGUGGUUAAUUAAAGUACGGUAUGAAAAUUUGCUACAGAAACCUCUCCUGCGUAUUGGAAAAAAAUUUGCUACAGAAACUGGUUGCCAGCGUUGCUUUCACUAAGUCAAUGUGAACAUACAUGUUUGCUUGUACAACUAUAGUCCAACUUUGGAAAAGUCUUUUUCAACUUGUUUACUUGUAUGUUGGUCAUCUAUAUUCAUCA